UACACACCGCCCGUCACACCAUGAGAGUUGAUAAUACCAGAAGUCGGUAUCCUAACCGUAAGGAGGGAGCCGCCCAAGGUAGGAUUGAUGAUUAGGGUGAAGUCGUAACAAGGUAUCCGUACCGGAAGGUGCGGAUGGAUCACCUCCUUUCUAUGGAGUUAUACUUUAUAGUAAAUACGGCUAUAAUGAAGUUAUGUUUAGUUUUCAGAGAUUAGUUUCUCUGAAUUAAUCGAAAUUGAACAAGUAGUUAAAUUUUGAUUAAAAAUUGUUCUUUGAAAACUGGAUAAUAGACAUCUAGUUAUUUCAUUUUUAAUGAAAUAACAAAAUAAUUCAAAUUUUCUGUUAUUAAAGUAAUUUUUAAAUUAAUAACUAAAAUUUCACAGUUAUAUUUUGUAAAUGAUUCUCAAAAAAAUUAUAAAAACCUUGAUUAAUUUUAUUAAUUAAGCAAUGAUCAAACUUUGAAGUUACAAAGGGCGUAUGGUGAAUGCCUUGGGAAUAGGAGACGAUGAAGGACGUGACUACCUGCGAUAAGGUUCGGGGAGCUGGAAGUAAGCUUUGAUCCGGACAUGUCCGAAUGGGGAAACCCGGUGAGAUUAAUCUCUCAUCAUCCUAUAAUGAAUAAAUAGUUAUAGUGAAGGUAUACCUAGGGAAUUGAAACAUCUUAGUACCUAGAGGAAAAGAAAGCGAAAGCGAUUCUCUGAGUAGCGGCGAGCGAAAGGGGAACAGCCCAAACCAACUUAUGUUGGGGUUGUAGGACCACAUUAGUAGAGUUACAAAACUUGUUUAUAGUAGAAAUGGUUGGGAAACCAUGCCACAGAGGGUGAUAGCCCCGUAUACGAAAUGAACAGGACUCGAAGUGGAAUCCUGAGUACGGCGAGACACGUGAAAUCUUGUCGGAAUCAACGCGGACCACCGCGUAAGGCUAAAUACUACCUAUUCACCGAUAGUGAACCAGUAC
rnacentral:sRNA from 1 species